GGCGCUUUGGCGGAGUGGUUAACGCGAUGCCCUGCUAUGUUCCUAUGCAAGCUGGUAGGCAUUUCUUUCGAGAGCGCAGGUUCGAAUCCUGCAGGCGUCG
rnacentral:tRNA from 1 species